rnacentral:ncRNA from 1 species
UUAAAAGCUGUGAAUGUGCAAAGUAGUUUCAAAUACGUGUAAAGAGAGAGGAAGUCAUGGGCUGGAAGCUUCCUUACUUUAGGUUUGAAAUCGAAAUUUCACACAGGAGCUGCGUGGGUGAAUUUUUUGUAGCUUGCGACGUUAAUACACGUUAAGUAUUAUUGAGAGCUUAUUUUAUACGAAAUUCGAAUAGAAUAAAGAAUGACAAUUUUAUGUGUAUAAAAUAAGAAUCAGGGUGGUAUCGCGGAUUAUAGUUUCGUCCCUAUU